rnacentral:tRNA from 1 species
GGUGAGAUGGCCGAGUUGGUUAUGGCGCCAGGUUAAGGUUCAGCGGCGUUUGUACAUUGCAAACUCGCUACUUAACAUAAUUCCUGGUCACGUUUCGUGGCGUGGGUUCGAGUCCCACUCUCAUCA